AUACAUGCAGUCGAACGAGCUUCCGUUGAAUGACGUGCUUGCACUGAUUUCAACAAUGAAGCGAGUGGCGAACUGGUGAGUAACACGUGGGAAAUCUGCCCAGAAGCAGGGGAUAACACUUGGAAACAGGUGCUAAUACCGUAUAACAACAAAAUCCGCAUGGAUUUUGUUUGAAAGGUGGCUUCGGCUAUCACUUCUGGAUGAUCCCGCGGCGUAUUAGUUAGUUGGUGAGGUAAAGGCCCACCAAGACGAUGAUACGUAGCCGACCUGAGAGGGUAAUCGGCCACAUUGGGACUGAGACACGGCCCAAACUCCUACGGGAGGCAGCAGUAGGGAAUCUUCCACAAUGGACGAAAGUCUGAUGGAGCAAUGCCGCGUGAGUGAAGAAGGGUUUCGGCUCGUAAAACUCUGUUGUUAAAGAAGAACACCUUUGAGAGUAACUGUUCAAGGGUUGACGGUAUUUAACCAGAAAGCCACGGCUAACUACGUGCCAGCAGCCGCGGUAAUACGUAGGUGGCAAGCGUUGUCCGGAUUUAUUGGGCGUAAAGCGAGCGCAGGCG
rnacentral:rRNA from 1 species